UGGCGAACGGGUGAGUAAUAUAUCGGAACGUGCCCAGUCGUGGGGGAUAACGUAGGGAAAUUUACGCUAAUACCGCAUACGAUCUAAGGAUGAAAGCGGGGGACUCUGCAAAGAGCCUCGCGCGAUUGGAGCGGCUGAUAUCAGAUUAGCUUGUUGGUGAGGUAAAAGCUCACCAAGGCGACGAUCUGUAGCUGGUUUGAGAGAACGACAGCCACACUGGGACUGAGACACGGCCCAGACUCCUACGGGAGGCAGCAGUGGGGAAUUUUGGACAAUGGGCGAAAGCCUGAUCCAGCAAUGCCGCGUGUGGGAAGAAGGCCUUCGGGUUGUAAACCACUUUUGUACGGAACGAAAAGGUCUGCCCUAAUACGGCGGGCCCAUGACGGUACCGUAAGAAUAAGCACCGGCUAACUACGUGCCAGCAGCCGCGGUAAUACGUAGGGUGCGAGCGUUAAUCGGAAUUACUGGGCGUAAAGCGUGCGCAGGCGGUGAUGCAAGACAGUUGUGAAAUCCCCGGGCUCAACCUGGGAAUUGCAUCU
rnacentral:rRNA from 1 species